GUUAAGUGACUAAGCGUACACGGUGGAUGCCUAGGCAAUCAGAGGCGAAGAAGGACGUGCUAAUCUGCGAAAAGCUUGGAUGAGUUGAUAAGAAGCGUUUAAUCCAAGAUAUCCGAAUGGGGAAACCCAGUAGAUGAAGAAUCUACUAUCACUUGUUGAAUACAUAAGCAAGUGAAGCAAACCGGGAGAACUGAAACAUCUAAGUACCCCGAGGAAAAGAAAUCAACCGAGAUUUUGUCAGUAGCGGCGAGCGAAAGCGAAAGAGCCAGUGAGUGAUAGCAGCAAAGACAGAAGAAUUGGCUGGGAAGCCAAGCGACACAGGGUGAUAGCCCCGUAUUCGAAGUUUUUGUUGUGGUACUAAGCUAACGAUAAGUAGGGCGGGACACGAGAAAUCCUGUUUGAAGAUGGGGGGACCAUCCUCCAAGGCUAAAUACUCCUGAUUGACCGAUAGUGAACCAGUACUGUGAAGGAAAGGCGAAAAGAACCCCAGUGAGGGGAGUGAAAUAGAACCUGAAACCGUGUACGUACAAGCAGUGGGAGCCCUUUGGGGUGACUGCGUACCUUUUGUAUAAUGGGUCAGCGACUUAUAUUUUGUAGCGAGGUUAACUGAAUAAGGGAGCCGAAGGGAAACCGAGUCUUAACUGGGCGGAUAGUUGCAAGGUAUAGACCCGAAACCCGGUGAUCUAGCCAUGGGCAGGUUGAAGGUUGGGUAACACUAACUGGAGGACCGAACCGACUAAUGUUGAAAAAUUAGCGGAUGACUUGUGGCUGGGGGUGAAAGGCCAAUCAAACCGGGAGAUAGCUGGUUCUCCCCGAAAUCUAUUUAGGUAGAGCCUUAUGUGAAUACCUUCGGGGGUAGAGCACUGUUUCGGCUAGGGGUCCAUCCCGGAUUACCAACCCGAUGCAAACUGCGAAUACCGAAGAGUAAUGCAUAGGAGACACACAGUGGGUGCUAACGUCCAUCGUGGAGAGGGAAACAACCCAGACCGCCAGCUAAGGUCCCAAAGUCUAUAUUAAGUGGGAAACGAAGUGGGAAGGCUUAGACAGCUAGGAUGUUGGCUUAGAAGCAGCCACCAUUUAAAGAAAGCGUAAUAGCUCACUAGUCGAGUCGGCCUGCGCGGAAGAUGUAACGGGGCUAAAAUAUAGCACCGAAGCUGCGGCAUCAGGCGUAUCACUAAUACGCCUUAAGAUUAACAACAUCGAAUGAAGUGAAACGGAAAGAGAUGUUGGUCAAGCAACCCGAACGUUGAGUCGGAAAGUAAUCGAAGAGAGGAUUAUUAGUGAUACGUCUGUUGGGUAGGGGAGCGUUGUGUAAGCGGAUGAAGGUGAAUCGAGAGGUUUGCUGGACGUAUCACAAGUGCGAAUGCUGACAUAAGUAACGAUAAAACGAGUGAAAAACUCGUUCGCCGGAAGACCAAGGGUUCCUGUCCAACGUUAAUCGGGGCAGGGUGAGUCGGCCCCUAAGGCGAGGCUGAAAAGCGUAGUCGAUGGGAAACGGGUUAAUAUUCCCGUACUUG
rnacentral:rRNA from 1 species